rnacentral:rRNA from 1 species
GAUGAACGCUGGCGGCGUGCCUAAUACAUGCAAGUCGAGCGAACAGAUAAGGAGCUUGCUCCUUUGACGUUAGCGGCGGACGGGUGAGUUACACGUGGAUAACCUACCUAUAAGACUGGGAUAACUUCGGGAAACCGGAGCUAAUACCGGAUAACAUAUUGAACCGCAUGGUUCAAUAGUGAAAGGCGGCUUUGCUGUCACUUAUAGAUGGAUCCGCGCCGUAUUAGCUAGUUGGUAAGGUAACGGCUUACCAAGGCAACGAUACGUAGCCGACCUGAGAGGGUGAUCGGCCACACUGGAACUGAGACACGGUCCAGACUCCUACGGGAGGUAGCAGUAGGGAAUCUUCCGCAAUGGGCGAAAGCCUGACGGAGCAACGCCGCGUGAGUGAUGAAGGUCUUCGGAUCGUAAAACUCUGUUAUCAGGGAAGAACAAAUGUGUAAGUAACUGUGCACAUCUUGACGGUACCUGAUCAGAAAGCCACGGCUAACUACGUG